rnacentral:rRNA from 1 species
AGCGAACGCUGGCGGCAGGCUUAACACAUGCAAGUCGAGCGUGCGUAGCAAUACGUCAGCGGCAGACGGGUGAGUAACGCGUGGGAACGUACCUUUUGGUUCGGAACAACACAGGGAAACUUGUGCUAAUACCGGAUAAGCCCUUACGGGGAAAGAUUUAUCGCCGAAAGAUCGGCCCGCGUCUGAUUAGCUAGUUGGUGAGGUAAUGGCUCACCAAGGCGACGAUCAGUAGCUGGUCUGAGAGGAUGAUCAGCCACAUUGGGACUGAGACACGGCCCAAACUCCUACGGGAGGCAGCAGUGGGGAAUAUUGGACAAUGGGGGCAACCCUGAUCCAGCCAUGCCGCGUGAGUGAUGAAGGCCCUAGGGUUGUAAAGCUCUUUUGUGCGGGAUGAUAAUGACGGUACCGCAAGAAUAAGCCCCGGCUAACUUCGUG